GUGAAAACUGAGCUCUGACCACAGAAAACCCAAGUUCCCAUGGAGAUAAGGAAGGCUAGUGCCUGGUGCUCUGUAACCUUGAACAAAUGACUUAACUGGACUCAGCUCCAGUGUCAGCAGGUGGAAGAUCAAUUGCCCAUAACAUUCAUGGGCUGCUAUAAUACACAAAUGAAUGAUUCCAGUGUUUGGUAUUUCAUAAAAACAGCUAAGAUAGAAAACACACUCAUCAGGAUUCCAGGCCUUAACAUGCUAAUUCUUUAUCUGCGUGAAAAACAGGCACUGGUGAUGUGGUCCAGUCAAAGUAGUUUCUCAGAGGGAAACCGUGAGGAGCAAAGAAGGGAGCCAUGGGUAACAAAGGGACAGCUUAAAUAUGGAAGAUUCUUGAACUCAGCCGUCACUAGAAAGGUCUGCUUAGAAACUUGUUUUGAUAUCUUCUUUUGUGGUUGUUGUUGUUACUAUUACUUUUAUUUUUUGCAGUUCAGUCAUUGUCCCACUCUCAGUCUCCCUUCCCACAGUUCCUCAUCCCAUCCCUCCUUCCCCUGUCUCCAAGAGGAUGUCUCCCCUUAUUAUACUCUCUGAGCUGAAGUUCCUGAAAAUUCAAAUGGGAAAUUCAUAUAAAACUGGGCACUUCUCAUCUAGGCUUCCUUUGAGGCUGCAAGUUCUUUAAAAAUCAGUCACCAUUCAUGGCCCGAGCCAUGUGACACCUAGGUUAUUUUAUUUUUAAUUAAAGAAAGUCUCCUACCUGAAAAUUACAUUAUUUGUUAUUUUAGUGCUAAUAUUCACAAAUCUCAAACAGAUGUGUUUAUAAACAAGAAAAAAACAUGACAAGCCUACACAUAUGAGUACUUAGAGAUUCAUCAGGUUCAACACAAAGUGCCUUCUGCAGUGGUCGGAUCGUGUCCUAUGCUCAGUCAGCUUUUGCCUGCAACUGUCCCCAAAUCUUAGCUUGCUCUCUCGCUGUUUGCACCUUGAGUGAACCUCCCUAGUAAACACUGUUACAGUGGUCUGUAUUCUAGACACAGAUCAACUGAAACUGGGGUAACUGGAGUUUGCAGCAAUGAACCUACAGCAAAAAUAAGGAAAUAAAAGAUGUCUACAUAGAAAUGGCAAAACACCAAAGGUAUACAACUUAAAAGGAUAAAAGAUUUUUUAAAAGUUCUUUGAUGACUAGAUCAGGGGUAAGAACAUCAGAGGAAAUGAUGGGAAGGGCAUAGAGCAUCUAUCUAUUAAAGAAAAUGAGCAAGAAGUGGAUGGGGGCUAUAAUUCCACCCUGGGAGUUCUGGUGAUAAACCACUCAGAUUGACUUCAUGGUACAUGUCACCGCCAGCACCCCUCUGUGGAAUAAUAGCCUUGCAUUACAGGGUUGCUUCUCUGUUAUUAUGUUCAAGAGAACUUAGAAAAUAUGCCCAGUGUUGUUGAAAUGAGAAGUAGAGUCAGCCAGGCAUAACUUACAAUCAAGAUCUUCCUAAAUAUGUUCCAGGAGAGCUUUGUUGACUGAAGUGGUGGCCACAUGGCCUUGCUAUCUUCAGUGAUGUUUAUAUCUCACCAGAUUUCUUGUAUUUUUCACUGGGUCAUAGUAAUUUCUAAUUCCCUCUCUCUAUUAAUAAUCUACUCCAUAGUGAUGAUAACAAGGUCCGAAAUAACUUAGACUUGAACUCAAGUUUCUUAUAGAGGAUCCAUCAGGUGGUUCAAUAUAGGAAGAAUGAGCAAAGAGACUUAGGGAUAAAACAAGGAAAACAAGACACAGUGAACCAAGAUGGCCUGCUGGAAGCCUGCACUGUGCUAUCUCUAUCAUCCUGCAUGUUCUGCUGUUGGGUGGGACCAAAGCAUGAGAAC
rnacentral:lncRNA from 1 species